AUACGUAGGGAGCGAGCGUUGUCCGGAAUUACUGGGCGUAAAGGGCGCGUAGGCGGCGCUUCAAGUCGUCUGUCAAAUGGGAGGGCUUAACCCUUUUUCGCAGACGAAACUGGAGAGCUUGAGAAGCAGAGAGGCAAACAGACUUCCUGGUGUAGCGGUGAAAUGCGUAGAUAUCAGGAAGAAUACCAGUGGCGAAGGCGGUUUGCUGGCUGCAUACUGACGCUGAAGCGCGAAAGCCAGGGGAGCAAACGGGAUUAGAUACCCCGGUAGUCCUGGCAGUAAACGAUGUAUGCUGGGUGUGAGACUAGCGAUAGUUUCGUGCCGAAGUUAACGCGAUAAGCAUACCGCCUGGGGAGUACGGUCGCAAGAUUGAAACUCAAAGGAAUUGGCGGGG
rnacentral:rRNA from 1 species